AUGAAGAGUGACUGGUCUAUGGAUCCUCCUCUACAAAUGAAGAGUGGAGACAGAAGCCAGAGUCACAGUUCAGUCCAGCAGAAGAGCUCAGAUUCAGCAGAGCCCAGCUGUGUGUCCAUGAAAAGUGACUGGUCUAUGGAUCCUCCUCUACAAAUGAAGAGUGGAGACCAAAGCCAGAGACACAGUUUGGAUCAGCAGAAGAGAUCAGAUUCAGCAGAGCCCAGCUGUGUGUCUAUGAAGAGUGACUGGUCUAUGGAUCCUCCUCUACAAAUGAAGAGUGGAGACCAAAGCCAGAGACACAGUUUGGAUCAGCAGAAGAGAUCAGAUUCAGCAGAGCCCAGCUGUGUGUCUAUGAAGAGUGACUGGUCUAUGGAUCCUCCUCUACAAAUGAAGAGUGGAGACCAAAGCCAGAGACACAGUUUGGAUCAGCAGAAGAGAUCAGAUUCAGCAGAGCCCAGCUGUGUGUCUAUGAAGAGUGACUGGUCUAUGGAUCCUCCUCUACAAAUGAAGAGUGGAGACAGAAGCCAGAGUCACAGUUCAGUCCAGCAGAAGAGCUCAGAUUCAGCAGAGCCCAGCUGUGUGUCCAUGAAAAGUGACUGGUCUAUGGAUCCUCCUCUACAAAUGAAGAGUGGAGACCAAAGCCAGAGACACAGUUUGGAUCAGCAGAAGAGAUCAGAUUCAGCAGAGCCCAGCUGUGUGUCUAUGAAGAGUGACUGGUCUAUGGAUCCUCCUCUACAAAUGAAGAGUGGAGACCAAAGCCAGAGACACAGUUUGGAUCAGCAGAAGAGAUCAGAUUCAGCAGAGCCCAGCUGUGUGUCUAUGAAGAGUGACUGGUCUAUGGAUCCUCCUCUACAAAUGAAGAGUGGAGACAGAAGCCAGAGUCACAGUUCAGUCCAGCAGAAGAGCUCAGAUUCAGCAGAGCCCAGCUGUGUGUCCAUGAAAAGUGACUGGUCUAUGGAUCCUCCUCUACAAAUGAAGAGUGGAGACCAAAGCCAGAGACACAGUUUGGAUCAGCAGAAGAGAUCAGAUUCAGCAGAGCCCAGCUGUGUGUCUAUGAAGAGUGACUGGUCUAUGGAUCCACCAAUGAAGUUUAACAGUGGAGAUACACAGCCUGGUCUCAGUUCAGUUCAUCAGAAGAGACCAGAAGCAGAGUCCAGCUGUGUGUCUAUGAAGAGUGACUGGUCUAUGGAUCCACCAAUGAAGUUUAACAGUGGAGAUACACAGCCUGGUCUCAGGUAUAAUGUUUGUAUAAAAAUAUUAUUAUAAAAUGACAUUUAAUAUGGACAUAUAUUAUCACAAUUAAGUUCACAGUUUUUUUAUAAACAGUAUAUGAAAUUACUAUAAAGUGCCCUUUAAAGGGGUCAUAUGAUGCAAUUUCAAUUUUCCCUUUCUCUUUGGAGUGUUACAAGCUCUUGGUGCAUAAAGAAGAUCUGUAAAACUGCAAAGAAUAAAAACUCAAAUCUAAAGAGAUAUUCUUUAUAA
ensembl:lncRNA